GUUAAAUUUAAAGAGGCCAAGUACACAGCAGGACAGCAGAACAGAUUAAGACUAUAGUCUUCAGUCAUCUCAAGGCAUCUACAAUACCUCAAAAAUGAAGUACAAUGACAUACAAACUGACUCUCCUGGAUCCAUUAUAACAUUCUAACGUUCUCUAUCUGGAAGAGAAAUGGGACCCCGCUCUUCUUCUAAGGCAGUGCUUCACGCUAUUGAACUGCUGGGCUCAUCUAUUCCGCGCUUCAGUGAUAAGGGGAGGUAGCCAAGGAACACAUCCAGGCAGCCACAUUUCUCAACCAUCACCCAUCUUGUCAAUGAAAAAUAACUCCACUAUUCCUUUUUGUCAGGAAGAGUUUCACUUUUUGAAGUGCUUGCUGCCUUUGGAGAGGAGAAUUCCAUCCAAAAAGAACAGGGAGUUGGCUGUGAGACUGCUUCUUAUGAGUGUCAGAAGCCAUACCGAGAAAUCUCACCAGCAUGAUGGCCAAAACAUGACCAGAACAAGUCCAGCACCAAUGGACAUACUGCUGUGGAUGGGGAAGCUCAGGAGGCCUCAUCCCUACACAAAGAGCUAAAGGCAGCUAAGGAAUUCUGAGGGUGGAAAAAAAGUUCCCACUGGUUAUCCAAUACCAAGUGGUUGGCCCCGAGAACAUACAUAUGAAUAACAAUGGCUAAGCAGGCUGUAUUUAUGAAUGCAUAUGUAUGUGUGUGUGACAGAUUUAUCAAAGUUUAGGCUUCACUUCCAUCUCUCACUAUCCCUGUCCGUGUUACUAGGUGAGGACUCACUACAGUGUGUGUCAUACCUGUAUUUUAGUUACUAAUUUUCGUUGAUUCACCAUGUUUAACAUUGAAAUUAGUUUUUGAGAAUCCCUUACCUUGUGUUCAAUUAAAAGUUCUUUAAGAUGUUUA